rnacentral:rRNA from 1 species
CCUACGGGUGGCAGCAGUGGGGGAUAUUGCACAAUGGGGGGAACCCUGAUGCAGCGACGCCGCGUGGGUGAAGGAGUGCUUCGGCAUGUAAAGCCCUAUCGGCAGGGAAGCAGCAAGACGGUACCUGACUAAGAAGCCCCGGCUCACUACGUGCCAGGCGCCGCGGUACUACGUAGGGGGCGAGCGUUAUCCGGAUUCACUGGGUGUAAAGGGAGCGUAGACGGCCAUGCAAGCCAGGGGUGAAAGCCCGGGACCCAACCCCGGGACUGCCGUUGGAACUGGGCGGCUAGAGUGCGGGAGGGGCAGGCGGAAUUCGUGGUGUAGCGGUGAAAUGCGUAGAUAUCAGGAGGAACACCGACGGCGAAGGCGGCCUGCUGGACCGCGACUGACGUUGAGGCUCGAAAGCGUGGGGAGCGAACAGGAUUAGAUACCCCUGUAGUC